rnacentral:misc_RNA from 1 species
CGAGUGCGGGUCCUUUGGGCCCAACCUCCCAUCCGUGUCUAUUAUACCCUGUUGCUUCGGCGGGCCCGCCGCUUGUCGGCCGCCGGGGGGGCGCCUUUGCCCCCCGGGCCCGUGCCCGCCGGAGACCCCAACACGAACACUGUCUGAAAGCGUGCAGUCUGAGUUGAUUGAAUGCAAUCAGUUAAAACUUUCAACAAUGGAUCUCUUGGUUCCGGCAUCGAUGAAGAACGCAGCGAAAUGCGAUAACUAAUGUGAAUUGCAGAAUUCAGUGAAUCAUCGAGUCUUUGAACGCACAUUGCGCCCCCUGGUAUUCCGGGGGGCAUGCCUGUCCGAGCGUCAUUGCUGCCCUCAAGCCCGGCUUGUGUGUUGGGUCGCCGUCCCCCUCUCCGGGGGGACGGGCCCGAAAGGCAGCGGCGGCACCGCGCCCGAUCCUCGAGCGUAUGGGGCUUUGUCACAUGCUCUGUAGGAUUGGCCGGCGCCUGCCGACGUUUUCCAACCAUUUUUUCCAGGUUGACCUCGGAUCAGGUAGGGAUACCCGCUGAACUUAAGC